rnacentral:rRNA from 1 species
ACACGGGGGGCGCAAGCGUUAUUCGGAAUUAUUGGGCGUAAAGGGCGCGUAGGCGGUUUUGUCGGUCAGAUGUGAAAGCCCGGGGCUCAACCCCGGACGUGCAUUUGAAACAGCAAGACUUGAGUACGGGAGAGGAAAGCGGAAUUCCUGGUGUAGAGGUGAAAUUCGUAGAUAUCAGGAGGAACACCGAUGGCGAAGGCAGCUUUCUGGACCGAUACUGACGCUGAGGCGCGAAGGCGUGGGUAGCGAACAGGAGUAGAUACCCCAGUAGUCC